rnacentral:rRNA from 1 species
ACGGAGAGUUUGAUCCUGGCUCAGGAUGAACGCUAGCGGCAGGCCUAACACAUGCAAGUCGAGGGGUAACAGGAAAGCUUGCUUUUGCUGACGACCGGCGCACGGGUGCGUAACGCGUAUGCAACCUACCUCAUACAGGAGGAUAGCCCUUGGAAACGAGGAUUAAUACUCCAUGGUAUCAUGAAUUCGCAUGUUUUUAUGAUUAAAGUAUUACGGUAUGAGAUGGGCAUGCGUCCCAUUAGCUAGUUGGUGAGGUAACGGCUCACCAAGGCGACGAUGGGUAGGGGGCCUGAGAGGGUGGUCCCCCACACUGGUACUGAGACACGGACCAGACUCCUACGGGAGGCAGCAGUGAGGAAUAUUGGUCAAUGGAGGCAACUCUGAACCAGCCAUGCCGCGUGAAGGAUGACGGCCCUAUGGGUUGUAAACUUCUUUUAUAGAGGAAGAAACUUGUCUACGUGUAGACAACUGACGGUACUCUACGAAUAAGGA